GAUUAACGCUGGCGGCGUGCCUAACACAUGCAAGUCGAACGAUGAAACUCAUUAGAUUUCUUCGGAAUGAAGAUGAAUGGAUUAGUGGCGAACGGGUGAGUAACGCGUGAGUAACCUGCCUUACACAAGGGGAUAGCCUCUGGAAACGGAGAAUAAUACCCUAUGAAACCAGACAAUCGCAUGAUAAUCUGGUCAAAAUGUUUAGUGGUGUAAGAUGGACUUGCGUCUGAUUAGCUAGUUGGUGAGAUAAAAGCUCACCAAGGCAACGAUCAGUAGCCGGCUUGAGAGAGUGUACGGCCACAUUGGGACUGAGACACGGCCCAGACUCCUACGGGAGGCAGCAGUGGGGAAUUUUGCACAAUGGGGGAAACCCUGAUGCAGCGACGCCGCGUGAUUGAGAAGGCCUUCGGGUUGUAAAAAUCUUUUGUAUAGGAAGAAAAUGACAGUACUAUACGAAUAAGGUCCGGCUAAGUACGUG
rnacentral:rRNA from 1 species